rnacentral:rRNA from 1 species
CAGCAGCCGCGGGAAUACGGAGGGAGCUAGCGUUGUUCGGAAUUACUGGGCGUAAAGCGCGCGUAGGCGGUUACUCAAGUCAGAGGUGAAAGCCCGGGGCUCGACCCCGGAACUGCCUUUGAAACUAGGUGACUAGAAUCUUGGAGAGGUCAGUGGAAUUCCGAGUGUAGAGGUGAAAUUCGUAGAUAUUCGGAAGAACACCAGUGGCGAAGGCGACUGACUGGACAAGUAUUGACGCUGAGGUGCGAAAGCGUGGGGAGCAAACAGGAUUAGAGACCCGCGUAGUCCCUGUCUCUUAUAC